rnacentral:lncRNA from 1 species
UUAUAUAUAUAUAACGACUUAUUUUCUCCGUUGAGAAAUGAGCACUAUUCCACACACAUAACCUAAUAAAUUUAUGCAGUAGUGAAUGAAAACUUAAUAUUCAAUCAUCUCUUAUACGGAAUUACAAGUCAUAAGGGUUAUAAAAUACUUUACAUUACAUCGUUAUAAUAUAAUUAAACUGACUUGACAACACAAACUCUUAUUGUCACUAAAUAUUCUUUAAAAUUUUCUUUCAACCUUAGACUUGUUUUUAACAUGCACUAAUCUGCAUUGAGGAUGUAAAUUAGAGUAAGUUUCACGAACUCAAUAAGAAAAAUGGACAGUGCAGUAACAAAUAUAUGCACACACUCAAUUAUCAAAUCUUCUAAAUCAAUUUAUUCAGCAAAUGUUCAUAAUUUCUUAUUUCAGUAUUAUAACUCAGGUCAUCAACAGUUACAUAAAUAGUACAAUUCAGUAUUCAAUAUUACAAUUUAAACAGUAAGUAGUUCAAUAGAUAUUAGUUUAAUAUUUCAGUAUCGUAAACUUUAUCCAUGACUUUCUAUUCCUUCCUAUCAGUUUAUAUCUUAUUAAAAAUAGUUUCACCGCGCGAUGUCAUUUCUGCCGGUAUAAACGAGAGUAGUAAAGAUCAUCUAUAUCACGUGAACACGUUAUAAUUUAGUUCACAAUUUAUAAUUUGCAGUACAUAGUAUUCAGUUCACAGUUCUUAUUGUUUCAC